rnacentral:rRNA from 1 species
CGGAGGAUCCAAGCGUUAUCCGGAUUUAUUGGGUUUAAAGGGUGCGUAGGUGGGAUGAUAAGUCAGAGGUGAAAGCUAGCAGCUUAACUGUUAAAUUGCCUUUGAUACUGUCAUUCUUGAGUAUAGUUGGCGUUGGCGGAAUGUGACAUGUAGCGGUGAAAUGCGUAGAUAUGUCACAGAACACCGAUCGCGAAGGCAGCUAACGAAGCUAUCACUGACACUGAUGCACGAAAGCGUGGGGAGCAAACAGGAUUAGAUACCCUGGUAGUCCACGCCGUAAACGAUGAUAACUCGACGUUGGCAAUAUACUGUUCAGCGUCCAAGCGAAAGCGUUAAGUUAUCCACCUGGGGAGUACGAUCGCAAGGUUG